GUCUUUUUGAUCAUAAUUUAAAGUCUAAUCUGCCCACUGAUAAAUAUUAAAGGGCUGCAGUAUAAUGACUGUACAAAGGUAGCAUAAUCAAUAGUUUUUUAAUUGAAAACUUGUAUGAAAGAUUUGAUGAAAUAUGAACUGUCUCUUAAUUAUUAUUAAAAUUUUAUUUUUUAGUUAAAAAGCUAAAAUAAUUUUAAAAGACGAGAAGACCCUAUAGAGUUUUAUAUUUAAUUUUAUUUUUAGAAUAUAUGAAAAUUAAUAUUAAAAUAAGGUUAAUUAUUAUAUUGGGGUGAGACAAAAAUUUAACUAACUUUUUUUAAAAUUUAAACAUUAAUAAAUGAUUAAAUGAUCCAUUAAUAAUGAUUAUAAGAAAAAAUUACCUUAGG
rnacentral:rRNA from 1 species